CAACCUGCCGAUGACUCGGGGAUAGCCUUUCGAAAGAAAGAUUAAUACCCGAUGGCAUAGUUCUUCUGCAUGGUGGAACUAUUAAAGAAUUUCGGUCAUCGAUGGGGAUGCGUUCCAUUAGGUUGUUGGCGGGGUAACGGCCCACCAAGCCUUCGAUGGAUAGGGGUUCUGAGAGGAAGGUCCCCCACAUUGGAACUGAGACACGGUCCAAACUCCUACGGGAGGCAGCAGUGAGGAAUAUUGGUCAAUGGACGAGAGUCUGAACCAGCCAAGUAGCGUGAAGGAUGACUGCCCUAUGGGUUGUAAACUUCUUUUAUACGGGAAUAAAGUGAGGCACGUGUGCCUUUUUGUAUGUACCGUAUGAAUAAGGAUCGGCUAACUCCGUGCCAGCAGCCGCGGUAAUACGGAGGAUCCGAGCGUUAUCCGGAUUUAUUGGGUUUAAAGGGAGCGUAGGCGGACGCUUAAGUCAGUUGUGAAAGUUUGCGGCUCAACCGUAAAAUUGCAGUUGAUACUGGGUGUCUUGUGUACAGUAGAGGCAGGCGGAAUUCGUGGCGUAGCGGUGAAAUGCUUAGAUAUCACGAAGAACUCCGAUUG
rnacentral:rRNA from 1 species